rnacentral:lncRNA from 1 species
UCCCCAAAAAUUUCUUUCAAACUCAAGUGAUUAGUUUCCUUCUAAUUUUACCGUAAACUUUCGCAUUUUUUCACUUUAGUAUUUUAUGAUUAAAAAUGUAUCGAAUUAGUACCAUGUGGUUUUAUUUUUCUCUUUUCGUUAGCUUAUCUGUUAAUAUUUUGUUAAAGUAUAUACAAAAAACUUCAGAUAUCCCACCUAAGUUUAUCGAAUAUUUACUUUAGUACUCUUUAGUUGUAACUUUGUCACUGAUUUAACAAAAAAAACUAGUGAAAUGAAUAAUAAAAAGAGAAAAAUAAAACCACGAGUUAUUAAUAUUGAUACGCUUUAAAUCACAUGGCACUAAAGUGAGAAAGUGCAAAAUCGUAGCGGUGGUAUUUGAAGUUUUUCUUUAAUUUUAUUCUCCAU